rnacentral:rRNA from 1 species
GAAUCAACGCCUACGGCGGCGUAGCCUCAGACAUGCAAGUCGAACGAUUAAACUUUCCUUCGGGAAGAUAUAGAGUGGCGCACGGGUGAGUAACACGUAAGUAAUCUACCCUUGGGUGGGGAAUAACAUCGGGAAACCGAUGCUAAUACCGCAUAAUGCAGCGGCUUCUUAUGAAGACAGUUGUUAAAGCAUUUAUGUGCCUGAGGAGGAGCUUGCGGCAGAUUAGCUAGUUGGUAAGGUAAUGGCUUACCAAGGCGACGAUCUGUAGCCGACCUGAGAGGGUGGUCGGUCACACUGACACUGAAUAACGGGUCAGACUCCUACGGAGGCAGCAGUCGGGAAUUUUGGGCAAUGGGCGCAAGCCUGACCCAGCAACGCCGCGUGAAGGAUGAAGUAUUUCGGUAUGUAAACUUCGUAAAAU